rnacentral:rRNA from 1 species
CCUACGGGAGGCAGCAGUGGGGAAUAUUGCACAAUGGGGGAAACCCUGAUGCAGCGACGCCGCGUGAGCGAUGAAGUAUUUCGGUAUGUAAAGCUCUAUCAGCAGGGAAGAAGAUGACGGUACCUGACUACGAAUCCCCGGCUAACUCCGAGCCAGCAGCCGCGGUAAUACGUAGGGGGCAAGCGUUAUCCGGAUUUACUGGGGGUAAAGGGAGCGUAGACGGCGAUGCAAGCCAGAUGUGAAAGCCCGGGGCUCAACCCCGGGACUGCAGUUGGAACUGGGUGGCUGGAGUGUCGGAGAGGCAGGCGGAAUGCGUAGUGUAGCGGUGAAAUGCGUAGAUAUUAGGAGGAACACCAGUGGCGAAGGCGGCCUGCUGGACGAUGACUGACGUUGAGGCUCGAAAGCGUGGGGAGCAAACAGGAUUAGAUACCCGGGUAGUC